UACGGGGGGAGCAAGCGUUGUUCGGAUUUACUGGGCGUAAAGGGCGCGUAGGCGGCCACCGCAAGUCAAUUGUGAAAUCUCCGGGCUUAACUCGGAAAGGUCAACUGAUACUGCGGGGCUAGAGUGCAGAAGGGGCAACUGGAAUUCUCGGUGUAGCGGUGAAAUGCGUAGAUAUCGAGAGGAACACCUGCGGCGAAGGCGGGUUGCUGGGCUGACACUGACGCUGAGGCGCGAAAGCGAGGGGAGCGAACGGG
rnacentral:rRNA from 1 species